rnacentral:rRNA from 1 species
AUUGAACGCUGGCGGCAGGCCUAACACAUGCAAGUCGAACGAGUGGCGGACGGGUGAGUAAUGUCUGGGCAACUGCCCGAUGGAGGGGGAUAACUACUGGAAACGGUAGCUAAUACCGCAUCCCAUCGGAUGUGCCCAGAUGGGAUUAGCUAGUAGGUGGGGUAACGGCUCACCUAGGCGACGAUCCCUAGCUGGUCUGAGAGGAUGACCAGCCACACUGGAACUGAGACACGGUCCAGACUCCUACGGGAGGAAGCAGGGGGGAAUAGUGCACAAUGGGCGAAAGACUGAUGCAGACAUGCCGCGUGUAUGAAGAAGGACUUAGGGGUGUAAAGUACUUUCAGCGAGGAGGCGUUACUAGCAGAAGAAGCACCGGCUAACUCCGUGCCAGCAGCCGCGGUAAUUC